ensembl:snRNA U6 U6 spliceosomal RNA
GUGCUCACUUCAGCAGCACAUAUACUAAACGUGGAACAAUACAGAGAAGAUUAGCAUGGCCCCAGCACAAGGAUGACACACAAAUUUGUGAGGUAUUCCAUAUUUUU